GACGAACGCUGGCGGCGUGCUUAACACAUGCGAGUCGAACGGAAAGGCCCGGCUUUUGUGGGGUGCUCGAGUGGCGAACGGGUGAGUAACACGUGAGUAACCUGCCCUUGUCUGUGGGAUAACUUCAGGAAACUGGGGCUAAUACCGGAUAGGAGCUCCUGCUGCAUGUUGGGGGUUGGAAAGUUUCGGCGGUUGGGGAUGGACUCGCGGCUUAUCAGCUUGUUGGUGGGGUAGUUGCUUACCAAGGCUUAGACGGGUAGCCGGCCUGAGAGGGUGAACGGCCACCAUGGGACUAAGGUACGCACCAGACGCGUACGGGCGGAAGCAGUGGGGAGUAUUGCACAAUGGGCGGAAGCCUGAGGCGGCAACGCCGCGUGCGGGAUGACGGCCUUCGGGUUGUAAACCGCUUUCGCCUGUGACGAAGAGUGAGUGACGGUAAUGGGUAAAGAAGCACCGGCUAACUACGUG
rnacentral:rRNA from 1 species